rnacentral:rRNA from 1 species
UACGUAGGGUGCAAGCGUUAAUCGGAAUUACUGGGCGUAAAGCGUGCGCAGGCGGUUUUGUAAGUUUGUCGUGAAAUCCCCGGGCUCAACCUGGGAAUGGCGAUGAAGACUGCAAGGCUAGAAUCUGGCAGAGGGGGGUGAGAAUUCCACGUGAUAGCAGUGAAAUGCGUAGAGAUGUGGAGGAACACCGAUGGCGAGGCAGCCCCCUGGGUCAAG